rnacentral:rRNA from 1 species
UGUACCUACGGGGGGCAGCAGUGGGGAAUAUUGGGCAAUGGGCGCAAGCCUGACCCAGCAAUGCCGCGUGAAGGAAGAAGGCCCUCGGGUUGUAAACUUCUUUUAUCAGGGACGAAGGAUGUGACGGUACCUGAUGAAUAAGCUCCGGCUAACUACGUGCCAGCAGCCGCGGUAAUACGUAGGGAGCAAGCGUUAUCCGGAUUUACUGGGUGUAAAGGGCGCGUAGGCGGGAUGGCAAGUCUGAUGUGAAAGCCCGGGGCUCAACCCCGGGACUGCAUUGGAAACUACCGAACUAGAGUGU